UACCGCCACUUCAUUCAAAGAAUUUCGCAUCUGGUUGCCCCUAUCUGCGCCCUGGCCCUGAAGGACGCCGUGUUCCAGUGGACACCAGCUGCGCAAGAGGCCUUCAAGCUCCUGAAGGAGGCUUUUACCUCUGCCCCCAUCCUGGCCCUUCCAGACUCACAGCUCCCCUU